rnacentral:ncRNA from 1 species
GCGCCAGGACGACCUGGCGCUGCCGCACAUUGUAUUUCAACCGGGGACGACCCCA